rnacentral:rRNA from 1 species
AUUGAACGCUGGCGGAAUGCUUUACACAUGCAAGUCGAGCGGCAGCGCGGGGGCAACCCUGGUGGCGAGCGGCGAACGGGUGAGUAACACAUCGGAACGUACCCAGUUGUGGGGGAUAGCCCGGCGAAAGCCGGAUUAAUACCGCAUACGACCUGAGGGUGAAAGGGGGGAUCGCAAGACCUCUCGCAGUUGGAGCGGCCGAUGGCGGAUUAGCUAGUUGGUGGGGUAAAGGCUCACCAAGGCGACGAUCCGUAGCUGGUCUGAGAGGACGACCAGCCACACUGGAACUGAGACACGGUCCAGACUCCUACGGGAGGCUG